AACUUUUAACAAUGGAUCUCUAGGCUCUCACAUCGAUGAAAAACACAGUGAAAUGGGAUAAGUAAUGUGAAUUGCAGAAUUCAGUGAAUCAUCGAAUCUUUGAACCCAUCUUGCGCCUUUUGGUAUUCCAAAAGGCACACCUGUUUGAGUGUCAU
rnacentral:rRNA from 1 species